rnacentral:rRNA from 4 species
UACGUAGGGGGCAAGCGUUAUCCGGAUUUACUGGGUGUAAAGGGAGCGUAGGCGGCGGAGCAAGUCAGAAGUGAAAGCCCGGGGCUCAACCCCGGGACGGCUUUUGAAACUGCCCUGCUUGAUUUCAGGAGAGGUAAGCGGAAUUCCUAGUGUAGCGGUGAAAUGCGUAGAUAUUAGGAGGAACACCAGUGGCGAAGGCGGCUUACUGGACUGACAAUGACGCUGAGGCUCGAAAGCGUGGGGAGCAAACAGG